rnacentral:rRNA from 1 species
AACGAACGCUGGCGGCAGGCUUAACACAUGCAAGUCGAGCGAGACCUUCGGGUCUAGCGGCGGACGGGUGAGUAACGCGUGGGAACGUGCCCUUCUCUACGGAAUAGCCCCGGGAAACUGGGAGUAAUACCGUAUACGCCCUUUGGGGGAAAGAUUUAUCGGAGAAGGAUCGGCCCGCGUUGGAUUAGGUAGUUGGUGGGGUAAUGGCCCACCAAGCCGACGAUCCAUAGCUGGUUUGAGAGGAUGAUCAGCCACACUGGGACUGAGACACGGCCCAGACUCCUACGGGAGGCAGCAGUGGGGAAUCUUAGACAAUGGGGGCAACCCUGAUCGAGCCCGGCCGCGUGAGUGAUGAAGGCCUUAGGGUUGUAAAGCUCUUUCAGCUGGGAAGAUAAUGACGGUACCAGCAGAAGAAGCCCCGGCUAACUCCGUG